CGGGUGAGUAACGCGUGGGUAACCUGCCUUGUACAGGGGGAUAACAGUUGGAAACGGCUGCUAAUACCGCAUAAGCGCACAGCAUCGCAUGAUGCAGUGUGAAAAACUCCGGUGGUAUAAGAUGGACCCGCGUUGGAUUAGCUAGUUGGUGAAGUAACGGCCCACCAAGGCAACGAUCCAUAGCCGACCUGAGAGGGUGACCGGCCACAUUGGGACUGAGACACGGCCCAA
rnacentral:rRNA from 1 species